UACGAAGGGGGCUAGCGUUGCUCGGAAUUACUGGGCGUAAAGCGCACGUAGGCGGCCAUGAUAGUCAGAUGUGAAAGGCCUGGGCUUAACCCGGGAACUGCAUUUGAUACUGCAUGGCUAGAGUCCAAGAGAGGGUAGUGGAAUUCCCAGUGUAGCGGUGAAAUGCGUAGAUAUUGGGAGGAACACCAGUGGCGAAGGCGGCUCACUGGACCGGUACUGACGCUGAGGCGCGAAAGCGUGGGGAGCAAACAGG
rnacentral:rRNA from 1 species